CAGCGACCACAUCCUGCUGGCUCAUGAAUUAGGAGAGAAAGGUUUUCAGGCAAGUGGUGGACGAGUUCCUUCAGUUCCAAAUAAAGCCUGCGACCCAGGCUGCACUCACAGACAGAGGUGUCUUCAACCUCAUUGGAAGCACUGUAAUAUGACUACAAAGCAAGGAAUGUCACAGUCUUCUAAGAACUGAAGUUGUAGGCUACACAAAGACAACAGAGAGACUUGUGGUGGGAAUGAGAAGGUUGCAGCAUUAUCAUGGAAGAACUGUGUAAGACAAGGAUCAUAAAAUGCAUCACCAGAGAGAUGAACAAUCAGAAAAGAAGGUGAUGAUGGAGAAUUGGAUUGGGCUGUGACCUUGUUGGCUUUGAAAGGUUUGGAGAGCAAGCCACCAGAGGUCCAGGCCAGAGUUUGUGGUCCACUAGCCCAGCCCUGAGGAGUGAUCAUUCCCCAGCUCAGCAGUAGACUGAUCCUGCAGCAAAGAUGCUACGUUUUACAAAGGGAGAGGAGGGACCUCAUCUAUUGGCUAUGCCAAAUUUGGGAGCAAAUUUGAUAUGGCAAAUACUUUAUAGAAACUGCUUUAAGUAUGAAAUUCCCGGGGCAGCUAGGUGGCGCAGUAGAUAGAGCACCGGCCCUGGAGUCAGGAGUAUCUGAGUUCAAAUCCGGCCUCAGACACUUAACACUUACUAGCUGUGUGACCCUGGGCAAGUCACUUAACCCCAAUUGCCUCACUUAAAAAAAAUAAAUUAUGAAAUUUCCUCCUCAUCGAACCUGGACUGAGGCACAGAAAGAACUGAAAACCAGAGAAUGGAUAUAUACAUGCACAGGUACUUAAAGGAACUCCAGGGUGGUAACUCAGAACUUAUCUUUAUGCUCUGAAGCAGCUAUUGCUUCAGUCUUGUCCCCUAGGAAGGAUACUCACUCUGCUUAUCCUUUUCCUCCCCAUAUUUCCAUCUCUAAUUCCAAUGUAAAGAAGGUGCAAUUUUAUGGAGCAGAGCACAACCUGGAAAUACAGGGUUCUAAGGGACUAGAUGUGAUCAAUAUAAUGUUAAUAAUAGCUAGCAUUUCUAUAAUGCCUCCUAUGGGAUUAAGUGCUUUACAAAUACUAUCUUAUUUGAUCCUCACAAAUAUCCAGGCAAGUUAAGUGAUAUUAUUAUCUCCAUUUUACAAA